rnacentral:rRNA from 1 species
UCCGGAGGGCGCAAUCGUUGUUCGGAAUCACUGGGCGUAAAGCGCGUGUAGGCGGCCUGGCAAGUCGGAUGUGAAAUCCCGAGGCUCAACCUCGGAACUGCCCUCGAAAAUGCCUGGCUCGAGACCCGGAGAGGGUGGCGGAAUUCCCGGUGUAGGGGUGAAAUCCGUAGAUAUCGGGAGGAACACCAGUGGCGAAGGCGGCCACCUGGACGGGGACUGACGCUGAGGCGCGAAAGCGUGGGGAGGAAACAGG